rnacentral:sRNA from 1 species
AGCGAUUUGAGGCCGUGCGAGCCGUG